rnacentral:lncRNA from 1 species
GAGCAACUCACUUAUUUUAGAAGAACCAAAGAAGGCUUCACAGAGCUGAAUAAUCUCUUUAACUGAUUAACUGAAGUUAAUUCUCACUGGCCAGCAAAAAGUUCGGUGAAAUUAGCCUCGGGAGAAACUAAGAUGGCAAAGGCUAUUUUGUGGGAGGUAAGAGAAGAGGGAGAAACAGAGACAAGAGACAGUAGGGGGGAAUGGCUAAGAAUGGUCCGUCUGGGCAUUGUUGGUGAAACGGCUUAGUGGUUGUGGAGUCACUAGAGCCACACGUUGUAUGUGAAGUCAUCAAAGCGGACAUCAGGGAGCCCUGGAGUUGGUCCCUCAUCCCCAGGAAAGGAGGACACCGGCUUUCCACCAGCCUCAGCAGGUCCACCCUCAGACAAGGCUCCCCAUAGGCUCCUCCUCAGGCUGUCCUGCUGUGAACAUUGACCCCACAAUCUGCACAACCUGUGUAGAAUCACUUCCAAGUUGACCAAGACUUGCUAAAUUAUCUCAUGAAGGACAACAAAG